UUCUCCUCUCUCUCUCUCUCUCUCACACACACUCACAGUCAGACUCACGCUCUCACCCUCUCAGGAACGCUCACCACGCCCUCACCCUCUCACUUUCACUCUCACUAGGUCUGGCCAUCAUCAAGAUUCAAGCACACACGCACGACACGACGCACCGCCACCGGCCAUCACCACGCAACGCCACUACCGUCCACCAAUCCAGCCGCCCCUCUGCAGCUCUAACCCUAGGUGUCUAUUGAUUGAUUGGGAGAAAACUCUUAGAUUGGGGGAAAAACUCAAACCAGAGCUGUGGAUUUAGCCCAAUUGAGAGAUUGGAUGAAUUUUGCUGCUCUAUGUAUGAUUGGAUGGCCAAUCCAAGGUACUUCAUUGGGUUUCUCUGAAGAUGUGUUCUUUUUCUUGCUGUGACCGGUGGGGGUUCUGUUUUUUUUUACUGUACUGUGUGAAGUAGUUUUUUUUUUUGAAAAAUUAAAACAACGCAACUGCUACUUCCUUGUUGAUUUGAAGAAUUUUAUAUAAAUGGCAUGGCAAAAGAUACAGUUUUGAGAUCUUUGCAACCAACAA